rnacentral:rRNA from 1 species
CCUACGGGGGGCAGCAGUGAGGAAUAUUGGUCAAUGGACGAGAGUCUGAACCAGCCAAGCAGCGUGCAGGAUGACUGCCCUAUGGGUUGUAAACUUCUUUUAUAUGGGAGUAAAAUGUUCUACGUGUAGGAUUUUGUAUGUACCAUACGAAUAAGGAUCGGCUAACUCCGUGCCAGCAGCCGCGGUAAUACGGAGGAUCCGAGCGUUAUCCGGAUUUAUUGGGUUUAAAGGGAGCGUAGGUGGAUUGUUAAGUUAGUUGUGAAAUUUUGCGGCUCAACUGUAAAAUUGCAGUGGAUACUGGCAGUCUAGAGUACAGUAGAGGUAGGCGGAAUUCGUGGUGUAGCGGUGAAAUGCGUAGAUAUCACGAAGAACACCGAUGGCGAAGGCAGCUUACUGGGC